rnacentral:misc_RNA from 1 species
UUUUUGGAAGCAAUACAACAAUAUGAAGUGGAAUUUGGGAGCUUGUCAUCCUAGUUUUGUUCUUCCUCGUUGAUGUCUUGUCUAGAAACACGAUAGAAACUUGCCAAAAAAUAAAACUAGCAUGUGUACAAAUUUACACUUUUCAAUGAGUAUCACAUCCUACGAUCGCUACAGUAAUUUUAUAAACUACUACUAUACAGUGUACUUCUACAUUAUACAAACUUCGAUACCGUCUCUCAUAACAAAUAAUUAUCUCAACAUGUAGUAUACAAGUUUCGUUGCCAUUUACUCCAUUAACAGCUCUUUCAUGCUCUACUUAGGGUUUAUUUCAUCUAGUUUUAGCUGCCGGAUUCUCUGGUGUAGUCUUCUGCGGUGAUCGUGUAUCUUCCAAAGGCCAUGUCCCAAUACAACGGCUGAAUAUAUGCCAUGUGUAAUAAUCGGUACAAGAAUAUUAUUUGUCUGGAUCCAUUCAAAACCAAGAUAGAGAGCCAAAAGUCCUUCUAAGAGGGGAGAAUAGAUCUUUUUCAUUUGCCUCCUCUCAUACCAUGCUGCAAAGAGCUUUUUCAGAUCUUCGCGGCCAGACUGAGAUUGCAAAACUGGUGCAACUACAUAAGCAGGAUCUUUUGGGGAGGCGGCCACAUAAUACAGAGAACCUGUAAGAGCAGCUGUCAAUACAGCCGCAAAUGCCUGAGCAAAUGGAACAAAUGGAGGCAGCACACCAGUCAGAGAUGCCAUUCCUCGAGCAUCUGUCACCAAAUUGGUGCCCCUUAUGAAUACAUCAGCCAAUGCUCCCUACAAAAUCAGGAAAAAGUUUUUUAAAAAGAAGAAUAAUAAUUAUUUCCAGUGGAUGACAAACUGCUGCUGCUGAUACCUCCAUUGUUUACUUUUACUGCUGUUACUUAAAAGCUUUUGAAGAAUGAGAAAAGACAUGUCCUUAGAGAAAAAUUUUGAAAAAAUGGCAUAUCAUUAAACAUCUUAUAAAUACAAAACAAAUUCAACAAGGGAGCCUACUCAAACGACAAUUUUGGUGCGAAGGGAAUUUAAGGAUUACUUUCCAUUGUGUAUCUCUAUCAAUGGACUACAUAAAAAUGCAAAGAAAAUGAUAUCAUCAUUUACAAUGUGAUUUUAACAUUGAACUCCAAUAUAUAAACAAGAUACAGGAUUCCAACUACGCAUGAUUGUUGAAAGAUUCAACAGAAAUAUAAGUGCACUAAGUAUCUGAAUAUCUCUAGAAGCAAAACAUAUCGAAAGGUGCACAUUACAUAUAUAUGUUAAGUUUUUCAGAACCCUAGAAAAAAGAGAAACAAAUAGAAAAUUAUGGGGUCGCUAUGUUUAUAGGCACACAGAACCAGAAUAACCUAGCUUUUUUGUUAAAUUUGAUAGACAUAUACUGUGGAUAGUGUCACAACUCAUCAACAAACUCAAACUCAUACAUGGCACUUAUGAAUAAUUUAAUUAAAGAGAAGACUUGUAGCAAUGAGCCCCUAAUCUAAAACAAAGACCAUGCAAUUAUCAAUUGAGUAAUUCAAAGCAGUUGUUAAAUCUCUACAUUAUAUAUAAAAAAUUACUCAACUCAGAGUAAGAUAGAGACCUGAACAGCAGCUCGGUAGAAAAGCUCUUCUCCCACAGAACUUGCAACAACAAUCAGUAUAAACUGCCAAGGUGACAUCCCAUAAAAGAAACUCCGAAGUUCUUCAUCUUCCACAUCUCUGAUAGCUCGAGCAUGAGGUGAUAGCUUCACAACUUCAUCAUCCAAUAUAAAAAGAAGCGCCAUAAUUGGUGGAGAUGCAUAUCCAAGCCCUUCAACAAUGGCAUCUAUAGAUACUUCAAAACCUCCCAUGCUAUCUAUUCCAGUGAUUGAGCAUAAGAACCGUCCUGCUAAAGCCAUGGCACCAUAUAUACCGAUUCCAUAGCUAAGUCUAACCACAGCGCCAAUCUUCUCCCAAACAGGGAACUCAGUGUCGCUAAAGCUCCGAUCAAAUGUGGUCACUUCCAUCGCACUUCCUGUGAACCCUCCUCCUCCCCUCGUACUGUUUCGUUCUUCUAUCCCUUCACUGCUUCUCUCCGAAGACACUUUAGCGCACCGAAGUUGAACUCUAUUAAUGCCUCCAUCACUCAAGCUCAAUCUCCUCUUUCUCACUGGAAAUUCACUGAUUCUCAAGAAAGCGCCAAUCCUCCCACUAAAAGAAGCCGUCGAGGUUGCCGUCGCCGUCGCUGAUGCCGCUGAGUGAUUCGAAGUCCGAGAUGCAAACGUCAACUCCAUCACCCGAUAUUUCGGUUUUCGUUCAUGUAUCCAAGCAUAGCUCUGCCUCUGCUCUUUCUGUUCCUUGGCUCUUCGACUUUGGACCUUUCGUUCUUGGUGUUCGAGAGAGAGAGGUAACGUCCGGGUCAACAAGCACUUUGUGGCACGCCUGAUCUGAUUAGAGGAAGAUCGGACGGUGUAGAAACGGAGUGGAGUGGGGCCUACGUCGAUGGCUUUUGGGUUUUCAACUUUUUGAUAUUUUCUGUGAUUGUGGACCGGAUUGAUUGGUAGAGGAAGAAUAAAAGGAUUGCUUGUGAGAAUCAGGGAGACCAAUGAUACAACGACAUGUGGAGAUAACGCAGGCGGGUUCCCUGUUUUUACAAUCAACAAACUUUGCUUUUUUU